rnacentral:rRNA from 1 species
CCUACGGGAGGCUGCAGUAGGGAAUAUUGCUCAAUGGGGGAAACCCUGAAGCAGCAACGCCGCGUGGAGGAUGAAGGUUUUCGGAUUGUAAACUCCUUUUGUUAGAGAAGAUAAUUACGGUAUCUAACGAAUAAGCCCCGGCUAACUCCGUGCCAGCAGCCGCGGGAAUACGGGGGGUGCAAGCGUUACUCGGAAUCACUGGGCGUAAAGAGCGCGUAGGCGGGAUAGCAAGUCAGAUGUGAAAUCCUAUGGCUUAACCAUAGAACUGCAUUUGAAACUGUUAUUCUAGAGUAUGGGAGAGGUAGGUGGAAUUCUUGGUGUAGGGGUAAAAUCCGUAGAGAUCAAGAGGAAUACUCAUUGCGAAGGCGACCUGCUAGAACAUAACUGACGCUGAGGCGCGAAAGCGUGGGGAGCAAACAGGAUUAGAUACCCUGGUAGUC